UCGCGCUAUAGUUAGCAUGCAUACGUCACAAGCUAGAUUACGUCACCUUUUCCUGGUAAGGCAAACUUUCCCGGCGUGCUUUUUUCACGGAUAAACAAAACACCACUGUUUGCACAUGAAUGCCUUGCCUAGCUAGAGCUACAAGAGCCGCAUAGUUAGAAUAUAAUACUUAAACAAGGUGUCACGUAUGAGCGACAGUGGUUCAAAAAAGGAAGAUAACGUUCAGAGAUGCUAGACAAUAAAAACAAAGUACUCCGGACACAGCAUCAAAGUAGUCAAUGUAAUAGUAAUAGUUUAAUGGUUAUAAUCAUCGGUUGAUCAAGCCGAACAACGUGCCACAUAAGACAAAUCUACCAUGGAUAUUCUUAUGAAUACUCCGGUAACUUAACCCGUACUAUACAUUGACUAUGCAAAACAAAUAUCGUUAUGUUUUCUGAACCAAACAAACUAUUCUAACGUCUCACAAGAUAAAUUAUUACGUUCACCAAGACGAAUCAUACCUCACUAUAACUCAGUGGCCAGUUAAUACCAUACAUAGGCAAUAUAUGAGUACACAUUAACAAUUAUUCCGAGUGGCAAUAGAAUAAUACCAUACAUGAGCUAUAUCAAUAUAUGAAUAUACAUUAAUACUUAUUCCGAUUAGCAAUAGAAUAAUACCAUACAUGGGCUAUAUCAAUAUAUGAAUAUACAUUAAUUGUUAUUCUGAUUAGCAAUAGAAUAAUACCAUACAGGGGAUAUAUCAAUAUAUGAAUAUACAUUAAUAAUUAUUCCAAUUAGCAAUAGAACAAUACCACACAUGGGCUAUAUCAAUAUAUGAAUAUACAUUAAUAAUUAUUCUGAUUAGCAAUAGAAUUGUGAUGGAUCGGAAAGUUUUCCGUUAUUUCUUUUUUUUUCUUUAUCGUGGCGCAUUGCAUUGCUAUUGCUUUUGUUUUAUUGGUAUUCGUGUGUACAUUUGCAUAACAGGUGGAGAAUAUAAUGCAUUGGCUGCGUGAGCGUUGUAUCGACAGAAGGUUUUUGGUUUAUGUCGGAGUAAGACGUUGUUUUUUGUUAAGAUGAAUCUUGUCUGAUACUAUCGAUACUGGUUUUUUUUGUUUGUAUCGGAUGGUGAAUACCUGCGUUACUGUGUGUAUAUCUG